AAUAAUAAUAAUAAUAAAUUAAAAAAUUUCAGAAUUUAUAAAAUUAUUAAUUAAUUAAAUACCAAAAUAAUAAUAAAAUACCAAAAUUAAAUUAGGUGAUUUUAGGUCAAGUAUUUCUUUCUCCCCAAGAUUGGUUCCAAAGAAUAUUCUAGAUAAAGAUCAGGAGUAGUGAGCAAGAAACCCUAGGUUAUAAAUAUAUGAGUCUCUUUCUGGUAGAUGCAGGUUCAAAAGGAUGUUCAGAGAGAGAGAGAAACAUAGUGAUCACCUUUGAGUUGUAGUUCCAUCUUUAAAUUGAGUUGUAGUUCCAUCUUUAAACUACAACUCUAAAAUACAAGAUACCGAGGAUGAGAGUGAGUUUUCUCAUUGCCCGAUUGGCAAAACAGCAUGAGGUAGUACCAGAAUCAUCAUGUGCUAAUUCGUCUUGUUCUUCAACCAGUUGACAAACUUCCAAACAAUGACAGGUGACGAUGUGAGCUGAUGCUACUCUACGUGGAAGAACAGUAGAAGACUCGAAGAGUAGAGUCGGAUGUAACGCUAGAACCUUUGGGUAGAGAAGCCUACUGUAAUGGUUUGAGUGUGCAGGAUGAUAUUAUGUGUUUGUAUUUGCGGAUUUGGGUAGGUUCUGGUGCAUUGCUUUCCUGCGAUUCUUCAGUGUGUAAAUCGUAGUGAGUAUAUCAGAUCUAUGAAGUCAUCGCAUAAUAGAUUCCUUGUCGAAUCUAAUUCUAUUUGUUGUGUUCAUCCUUCGUUAUUCCUUGGUCAAGGCUGGAUGUAAAAUUAUGUAUGCUUAGGAAUAUGCAAAGCAUGUUUUGGAAAUGCUUUGAAAAAAAAAUUAUAUAUAUCUGCAUUUGAAAACUACUUAUGAAAACAUGUUGCAUUUUUA